rnacentral:lncRNA from 1 species
AUAUGUAUUAGUUAUGAUUAAUUAAAAUAAAAAGUAAAUUUUGAGUUUUAACCUAGGUGUGAGAUAUAACCUUCCUUGUCAAAGAACUGGUCUUCAAUGAAAUAAUAUCAAAUUUGAAAAAAAGUAAAAAUAUUUUGAGGUUCUCACUUUUAUCUAUAGAGAGUUGACACAAAUUAAUGUGUGUGAUAAUAGUAGUGCCAUAAAGACCUUUUAAUUGUGAUGAUUUUAGCAUAAUUGGUAAUGCAUUUCUAUCAAUAUCAGAUAUACAAAACUUUGCUUAUUAUUAAAUCUUUGUAUUUAUUACUUUUAAUGUAUACUUAUUACUUUUGAAAACUGUCUAUAUAAUCUAUUUAUUGCUUAAAAUAAUAUGAUUAAAUAAAAAUGUCAUUGAAUUACACCUGUGAUACUUAUUUUAUUGCAAGUAUUUUUAUUUUCUGUAUCUAUACUGAGUGCCUAUAAAAACUCAACACAAUAAAUUCCAAGCUCUAAUUAUAGUCCCUUUUGAAUGUACAUGAAAACAGGAUUGUUCAAUGCAUUCCUUAAAUAUGUUGGUACAUUAGUUACUUUUGAUAGUUUUGUCUUGCUUCAACUUUUUCUGGUGCUUUGUCCUUUAAGGGACCAAAUCAAAACUCACAAAUUUUCAUCUAAAGGCAAUGAGAGUUGACAAAAAGUAAAGGAAAAUUACUAAUCUGUAUUUUUUAUAACUUUUGCUUCAGGGGUUAUUUUGUGGAAAUUUGUCCCAAUAGUGUGAAAUUCAUUUUUUUAAAUAUUAAAUUUUUAAAAACACUGGAAAUUUUCUUCCACCACAUUAUAAUAAGUUUUCAAACUAAAAUAAAGUAUUGAUGG